UACAGAGGGUGCAAGCGUUAAUCGGAAUUACUGGGCGUAAAGCGUGCGCAGACGGUUGCGUAAGACAGAUGUGAAAUCCCCGGGCUCAACCUGGGAACUGCAUUUGUGACUGCAUCGCUGGAGUGCGGCAGAGGGGGAUGGAAUUCCGCGUGUAGCAGUGAAAUGCGUAGAUAUGCGGAGGAACACCGAUGGCGAAGGCAAUCCCCUGGGCCUGCACUGACGCUCAUGCACGAAAGCGUGGGGAGCGAAACAAGG
rnacentral:rRNA from 1 species